rnacentral:rRNA from 1 species
CAGAGCGAACGCUGGCGGCAGGCCUAACACAUGCAAGUCGAACGGACCCUUCGGGGUUAGUGGCGGACGGGUGAGUAACACGUGGGAACGUGCCUUUUGGUUCGGAAUAGCUCCUGGAAACGGGUGGUAAUGCCGAAUGUGCCCUUCGGGGGAAAGAUUUAUCGCCAUUAGAGCGGCCCGCGUCUGAUUAGCUUA